rnacentral:lncRNA from 1 species
AGUUUUUAACCAGCCACUGCAGGAUAGGAAGUAAUCCUGGAGGGGGUGCAAUCGCCAUUGACCACGACCGGCCACAGUGUGCUGUAUAGGAGUUAACUGAGACUGAUUAUGUAAAGUGCCUUACAUAGUGCCUGUUUACAUAGGGGGCAUCUCGUAAAUGUUAUCUCUUGUUAUCAUUUUGCCAAAGAAGACCUGUCAUGGUAGUUCUGAUGGUGAUUGCUACACACAGUUUCCUGAGUGCUAUGGUGGGUGUAAGUAUCCAUCCAGUUCAAUCCAACAGCCUCAUACAGUGGGACUCUGUUAUUUUUGGUACAGGGUAGUGACAGAGUCCGCAUCCCUCUUUGUGUUCCACAUUCCUGGAUUUUUUUUUUUUCAGAUGACUGAAAAUGAAGGCGAUAAUCCACUUCCUGCCUUCUGAUGGGAUGCUGAACACGCAAUGGGUUGCAGGAUAGCCUAGCUUCCUUGAAUGCAUGGGCUUGCGGUUUAGACAAGUUUUGUGAAGUCAUUGUAUAGAUAUUGGCCAAGGCACACCGUUUGCAGGUGCUUCAUCUGAUGGCUCUGAGGCUGGGGCUUGUAGGUGUGUGUGGCACAUGCCCAUUUCAGCACCUACAUUCUCCCCGCAUUUCCAACACCUGACUUCUUCCCCCAGAGGCCAUUUCUGGUUCUUCCUCUUCUUCAGGCAAAUCCUCUCCUAUGCUAGGCCAUAUAUAUCAAGGGUAGUCAGGCUCUUGAGGAAUUUUCUGCUUACGUAAGGCAACAGUUAUGAUGCUUUCGAACAAAAUAGAGGGAACAAGCACUGUUGUGAUUGGAAGUCACAGAACAUGCCUUACAGUAUAAAAAAAAAAUACAAACUGAGAUUUGAAAGCAAAAUGGGAGUUUUCCAAGUCAAGUGAACUUAGGAAUCAGUAUAAUCCAUGGAAAGAAAGGCAUGUACUAAAAACAUGCCUCCCCACAGAUUAGUGGUUAUAAAGAUAGAUAGGUGAACCUGAAGUCUAAUUUCUGUUCUCCUGAUUAUUGGAAGUGCACUGAAAUCCAAUUUGACCUCCAGAAAGGCAUUGUUUGCCCUGAAUAUGGUACUUGCAUUGUCAGUCUGGGUGCUCUGAGGUCCAUGGACAAGCUGUAAACAGGACCGCUGUGAGAACCAAAUUAAAUAACGUGUGUGAAAACCCCU